CACAUGCAGUCGAGGGGAACGACAUCGAAAGCUUGCUUUUGAUGGGCGUCGACCGGCGCACGGGUGAGUAACGCGUAUCCAACCUGCCCACCACUUGGGGAUAACCUUGCGAAAGUAAGACUAAUACCCAAUGACGUCUCUAGAAGACAUCUGAAGGAGAUUAAAGAUUUAUCGGUGAUGGAUGGGGAUGCGUCUGAUUAGCUUGUUGGCGGGGUAACGGCCCACCAAGGCGACGAUCAGUAGGGGUUCUGAGAGGAAGGUCCCCCACAUUGGAACUGAGACACGGUCCAAACUCCUACGGGAGGCAGCAGUGAGGAAUAUUGGUCAAUGGACGAGAGUCUGAACCAGCCAAGUAGCGUGCAGGAUGACGGCCCUAUGGGUUGUAAACUGCUUUUAUAAGGGAAUAAAGUGAGAGUCGUGACUCUUUUUGCAUGUACCUUAUGAAUAAGGACCGGCUAAUUCCGUGCCAGCAGCCGCGGUAAUACGGAAGGUCCGGGCGUUAUCCGGAUUUAUUGGGUUUAAAGGGAGCGUAGGCCGGAGAUUAAGCGUGUUGUGAAAUGUAGAUGCUCAACAUCUGAACUGCAGCGCGAACUGGUUUCCUUGAGUACGCACAAAGUGGGCGGAAUUCGUGGUGUAGCGGUGAAAUGCUUAGAUAUCACGAAGAACUCCGAUUGCGAAGGCAGCUCACUGGAGCGCAACUGACGCUGAAGCUCGAAAGUGCGGGUAUCGAACAGGAUUAGAUACCCUGGUAGUCCGCACGGUAAACGAUGGAUGCCCGCUGUUGGUCUGAAUAGGUCAGCGGCCAAGCGAAAGCAUUAAGCAUCCCACCUGGGGAGUACGCCGGCACGGUGAAACUCAAAGGAAUUGACGGGGGCCCGCACAAGCGGAGGAACAUGUGGUUUAAUUCGAUGAUACGCGAGGAAC
rnacentral:rRNA from 1 species